AUUGAACGCUAGCGGGAUGCCUUACACAUGCAAGUCGAACGGAGUGGCGAACGGGGGAGUAAUGUAUCGGAACGUGCCCAGUAGCGGGGGAUAACUACGCGAAAGCGUAGCUAAUACCGCAUACUAUUGGAGCGGCCGAUAGCGGAUUAGCUAGUUGGUUGGGUAACGGCUCACCAAGGCGACGAUCCGUAGCUGGGUUGAGAGGACGACCGGCCACACUGGAACGUGGACACGGCCCCGACCCCUACGGGAGGCAUCAGUGGGGAAUUUUGGACAAUGGGGGAAACCCUGUUCCUGCCAUCCCGCGUGUGCGAUGAAGGCCUUCGGGUUGUAAAGCACUUUUGGCAGGAAAGCGGUACCUGCAUAAUAAGCACCGGCUAACUACGUGCCAGCCGCCGCGGUAAUAC
rnacentral:rRNA from 1 species